rnacentral:siRNA from 1 species
UUAAAUGAAUUGGUUUUACUUUGC